AUACUUACCCGGCAGGGGCGAGACCAUGAUCAGGAAGCUGGUUCCCCCAGGGCGAGGCUCAGUCAUUGACCUCCGGCUGUGCUGACCCCUGAAAAUUCCCCAAAUGUGGGAAUCUCAACUGCAUCAUUUCUGAUAGUGGGGGACUGUGCUCGUGCUCUUUCCUG